AAAAAAAACUGCAAAAUCACAUACAUUUUUCUUCAUUGUCUUGGAAAACACUGCAACCAAUCCCACUUAAUAACCAAGUUAGUGUUACAUUUUGUGCUAAACUGUUCCACAUGUAAGGGUAAAACACACUCAAAAAUCUCACUCAUGGAGAUUUAUUUGUUGUUGACACAGUGAAAUUGCCAGAUCAUGCCAGUUUUCUCUUUUAAUUACCCUUGGAAAAUUGAAGAAUUCAAAUUUGGUUAUUUAUAUUAAGCAAACAAUAUAAUUGCUUCAGUCUUGAAAUUAAAAAGUUAAGAGGCAUUAGGUAGGUCAAUGCCUAAUUUACUUAAUGUUAUAUCUCAAACAAUAUUUUACCAAUAUCAAUAUAACCCGCAAACACUCAUUUUGUCAAUUUAAGCAAAAAGGGAAAGGGAAAAUAAGUUGAGCUUGCCUUCAGAAGUUCAUGGAUGUAAUACCGAAUGUCGUAGUCUGAAAGUGUUGGAUAAAGCACUUUAAAAUCAGUAUUAUUCACAUACUCAAAAAUAAGACUUGGGGUCUUUGAUUGCUGAUCUCUAACAAUAUCGAGCAGCUUCACAAUAUUUGGCCCCCCACAGAGAUUCUGCAGUAUUUUAAUCUCCCUCUUAAUCUUUUUCUUCUUCACAGGUUUAAGAAUCUUAAUGACGCAUUUCUCAUUAUCCGUGCAGUGGACGCCCUCAAAUACCUCACUAUAUUUCCCCCUCCCAACCUUCCUCACUACCUCAUAAUCAUCCUGCUCCCCCCAUUGGACGGUGAGGGACUCGUAAUCCCAAUACUCCUUAGGGCGGAUGACAUUGACGUCGUAGUAAACCCUAGCCUUGGAUGGGGCGCCAGGGCGGCGAAUCGAUUUCCCGAUCUUCUGCGCCAGCGUGUCAGGCGGUGGAGCUAAUGGCUUCAACCGAUGGAGGUGUGCCGGCGGUCGACGGUCUUGCUGUUGCUUUUGGCGAUAGAAAGUGGUGCUGGAAGCUAAUCGAUGGAGGAAGGUGAUCUGCAAUAGUUGGAUGGGGGACAGAGGGAAAGAAGAGGGAGAAGAGAGUUCUGUUAUGGUGAUUGAAGAUUGCUAAUUGAUGUAGCAGAGGCCUUAUGGCCAUCCAGUCGUAAUUUUAGGGGUUAAAAAGGAGUUUGCUUUAGCAUGGCCGGAACCCGAAUCGCUGUCUUUCUACAUUUUUCUCU
rnacentral:misc_RNA from 1 species